rnacentral:rRNA from 1 species
UGGGGAAUAUUGCACAAUGGGCGAAAGCCUGAUGCAGCAACGCCGCGUGAGUGAUGAAGGUCUUCGGAUUGUAAAGCUCUGUCUUUUGGGACGAUAAUGACGGUACCAAAGGAGGAAGCCACGGCUAACUACGUGCCAGCAGCCGCGGUAAUACGUAGGUGGCGAGCGUUGUCCGGAUUUACUGGGCGUAAAGGGUGCGUAGGCGGAUGUUUAAGUGAGAUGUGAAAUACCCGGGCUUAACUUGGGUGCUGCAUUUCAAACUGGAUAUCUAGAGUGCAGGAGAGGAGAAUGGAAUUCCUAGUGUAGCGGUGAAAUGCGUAGAGAUUAGGAAGAACACCAGUGGCGAAGGCGAUUCUCUGGACUGUAACUGACGCUGAGGCACGAAAGCGUGGGUAGCAAACAGGAUUAGAUACCCUGGUAGUCCACGCCGUAAACGAUGAGUACUAGGUGUAGGAGGUAUCGACCCCUUCUGUGCCGCAGUAAACACAUUAAGUACUCCGCCUGGGAAGUACGAUCGCAAGAUUAAAACUCUAAAGUGAAUU